ACGGAAGGCAGCAGUGGGGAAUAUUGGGCAAUGGGCGAAAGCCUGACCCAGCAACGCCGCGUGAGGGAAGAAGGCUUUCGGGUUGUAAACCUCUGUCCUUGGUGACGAACACAAUGACGGUAGCCAAGGAGGAAGCCCCGGCUAACUACGUGCCAGCAGCCGCGGUAAUACGAGGGGUGCAAGCGUUGUUCGGAAUCACUGGGCGUAAAGGGAGCGCAGGCGGAGAUGCAAGCGGACUGUACAAUACCGGGGCCCAACCCCGGACCUGCAGUCCGGACUGCACCUCUUGGAUAGUUCAGGGGCAAGCGGAAUUCCUGGUGUAGCGGUGGAAUGCGUAGAGAUCAGGAAGAACACCGAUGGCGAAGGCAGCUUGCUGGGGACUAAUCGACGCUCAUGCUCGAAAGUGCGGGUAGCAAACAGGAUUAGAUACCCUGGUA
rnacentral:rRNA from 1 species